rnacentral:rRNA from 1 species
GACGAACGCUGGCGGCGUGCUUAACACAUGCAAGUCGAACGGAAAGGCCCUGCUUUUGUGGGGUGCUCGAGUGGCGAACGGGUGAGUAACACGUGAGUAACCUGCCCUUGACUUUGGGAUAACUUCAGGAAACUGGGGCUAAUACCGGAUAGGAGCUCCUGCUGCAUGGUGGGGUUGGAAAGUUUCGGCGGUUGGGGAUGGACUCGCGGCUUAUCAGCUUGUUGGUGGGGUAGUGGCUUACCAAGGCUUUGACGGGUAGCCGGCCUGAGAGGGUGACCGGCCACAUUGGGACUGAGAUACGGCCCAGACUCCUACGGGAGGCAGCAGUGGGGAAUAUUGCACAAUGGGCGGAAGCCUGAUGCAGCAACGCCGCGUGCGGGAUGACGGCCUUCGGGUUGUAAACCGCUUUCGCCUGUGACGAAGCGUGAGUGACGGUAAUGGGUAAAGAAGCACCGGCUAACUACGUGCCAGCAGCCGCGGUGAUACGUAGGGUGCGAGCGUUGUCCGGAUUUAUUGGGCGUAAAGGGCUCGUAGGUGGUUGAUCGCGUCGGAAGUGUAAUCUUGGGGCUUAACCCUGAGCGUGCUUUCGAUACGGGUUGACUUGAGGAAGGUAGGGGAGAAUGGAAUUCCUGGUGGAGCGGUGGAAUGCGCAGAUAUCAGGAGGAACACCAGUGGCGAAGGCGGUUCUCUGGGCCUUUCCUGACGCUGAGGAGCGAAAGCGUGGGGAGCGAACAGGCUUAGAUACCCUGGUAGUCCACGCUGUAAACGGUGGGUACUAGGUGUGGGGUCCAUUCCACGGGUUCCGUGCCGUAGCUAACGCUUUAAGUACCCCGCCUGGGGAGUACGGCCGCAAGGCUAAAACUCAAAGGAAUUGACGGGGCCCCGCACAAGCGGCGGAGCAUGCGGAUUAAUUCGAUGCAACGCGUAGAACCUUACCUGGGUUUGACAUGGAUCGGGAGCGCUCAGAGAUGGGUGUGCCUCUUUUGGGGUCGGUUCACAGGUGGUGCAUGGCUGUCGUCAGCUCGUGUCGUGAGAUGUUGGGUUAAGUCCCGCAACGAGCGCAACCCUUGUUCACUGUUGCCAGCACGUUAUGGUGGGGACUCAGUGGAGACCGCCGGGGUCAACUCGGAGGAAGGUGGGGAUGACGUCAAGUCAUCAUGCCCCUUAUGUCCAGGGCUUCACGCAUGCUACAAUGGCUGGUACAGAGAGUGGCGAGCCUGUGAGGGUGAGCGAAUCUCGGAAAGCCGGUCUCAGUUCGGAUUGGGGUCUGCAACUCGACCUCAUGAAGUCGGAGUCGCUAGUAAUCGCAGAUCAGCAACGCUUCGGUGAAUACGUUCCCGGG